rnacentral:rRNA from 1 species
UACAGAGGGUGCAAGCGUUGUUCGGAAUUAUUGGGCGUAAAGGGCGCGUAGGCGGUGCGGUAAGUCUGUAGUGAAAUCUCUGGGCUCAACUCAGAGUCUGCUGCAGAAACUGCCGUGCUUGAGUGUGGGAGAGGUGAGUGGAAUUCCCGGUGUAGCGGUGAAAUGCGUUGAGAUCGGAAGGAACGCCCGUGGCGAAAGCGAGGCCCUGGACCCUUACUGACGCUGAGACGCGAAAGCCAGGGGAGCGAACGGG